rnacentral:rRNA from 1 species
UCCUGGCCGUAAACGCUGCCCGUUAGGUGUUGCACUCCCUACGGGGGUAUGCAGUGCCGUAGCGAAGGCGUUAAACGGGCCGCCUGGGGAGUACGGUCGCAAGGCUGAAACUUAAAGGAAUAGGCGGGGGAGCACAACAAGGGGUGAAUGUGUGCGGUUUAAUCGGAUUCAACUCCGAGAACCUCACCAGGAACGACAGCUGGAUGAAGGUCAGUCUGAAGGGCUUACCUAAC